rnacentral:lncRNA from 1 species
CUUUUCUCUUCCACGUCUGGUGGCAGAGGUCAGCUUUCAACUGCAGAGGUAUCUUGGUGUGAAUGUUUUAAAAUAUUUCACUUUAGAAGUGGUUUGGAGAAGUCGGUUUCCAUUUUAAAAUGUGCAUAUGAAUUUGUCUGAUGCUGAGAAUUGAUAAUAAUCCAUAUGAAAUAAUCUGCAAGAUGUACAGUCAAAGUGAGGAAACUGAAGGACAUUUUUCCUUUUCCUUUCUCUGUUAGCUAAUAGAAAGGCCAGUACUGUUCCUCGGUAUACAAGAGAGAAUCUGAAUAAAUAAAUUCUCAUUUUUUUCUUCUACCUGACUUUAUACUCCAUGCUUCCUUGGGGCA